GAUCAUGGCUCAGGAUGAACGCUAGCGGCAGGCUUAACACAUGCAAGUCGAGGGGCAGCGCGAUGUAGCAAUACAUUGGCGGCGACCGGCGCACGGGUGCGUAACACGUAUGGAACUUACCCUUUACUGGGAGAUAGCCCGGAGAAAUCCGGAUUAAUAUCCCAUAAUAAACGAAGUGGCAUCACUUUGUUUUGAAAGCUCCGGCGGUAAAGGAUGGCCAUGCGCACGAUUAGCUAGUAGGUGAGGUAACGGCUCACCUAGGCUACGAUCGUUAGGGGGCCUGAGAGGGUUAUCCCCCGCACUGGUACUGAGACACGGACCAGACUCCUACGGGAGGCAGCAGUGAGGAAUAUUGCGCAAUGGAGGCAACUCUGACGCAGCCAUGCCGCGUGCAGGAAGAAGGCGCUACGCGUUGUAAACUGCUUUUAACCGGGAAGAAACCCUCCGACGUGUCGGAGGUUGACGGUACCGGAGGAAUAAGCACCGGCUAACUUCGUG
rnacentral:rRNA from 1 species